UAGGGCGUUUUAGUAUCAUGAUGUAGACCCGAAACCUAGUGACCUAUCCAUGAGCAGGUUGAAGGUGCGGUAAGACGCACUGGAGGACCGAACCAGGACACGUUGAAAAGUGUUUGGAUGACUUGUGGAUAGCGGAGAAAUUCCAAACGAACUGGGAGAUAGCUGGUUCUCUCCGAAAUAGCUUUAGGGCUAGCGUCGCAAUUUAAGUGUAUUGGAGGUAGAGCACUGUUUGGAUGAGGGGCCCAUCUCGGGUUACCAAUUUCAGAUAAACUCCGAAUGCUAAUACACAUGUGCGGCAGUCAGACUGCGAGUGCUAAGAUCCGUAGUCGAAAGGGAAACAGCCCAGACCACCAGCUAAGGUCCCAAAAUAUAUGUUAAGUGGAAAAGGAUGUGGGGUUGCACAGACAACUAGGAUGUUAGCUCAGAAGCAGCUAUCAUUCAAAGAGUGCGUAAUAGCUCACUAGUCGAGUGACCCUGCGCCGAAAAUGUACCGGGGCUAAACAUAUUACCGAAGCUGUGGAUUUAAUAUUAAUUAAAUGGUAGGAGAGCGUUGUAAUCAGCGAUGAAGGUAUACCGUGAGGGGUGCUGGAGCGAUUACAAGUGAGAAUGCCGGUAUGAGUAGCGCAAGAUAAGUGAGAAUCUUAUCCACCGUAAGACUAAGGUUUCCAGGGGAAGGCUCGUCCGCCCUGGGUUAGUCGGGACCUAAGGCGAGGCCGAAAGGCGUAGUCGAUGGACAACAGGUUGAUAUUCCUGUACUAGUAUUGUUAGUGAUGGAGGGACGCAGUAGGCUAAAGGGAGCCAGUUAAUGGAUUCUGGUCUAAGCAGUGAGGUGUGGAAUGU
rnacentral:rRNA from 1 species